GAUGAACGCUGGCGGCGUGCCUAAUACAUGCAAGUCGAGCGAACAGAUGAGGAGCUUGCUCCUCUGACGUUAGCGGCGGACGGGUGAGUAACACGUGGAUAACCUACCUAUAAGACUGGGAUAACUUCGGGAAACCGGAGCUAAUACCGGAUAAUAUAUUGAACCGCAUGGUUCAAUAGUGAAAGACGGUUUUGCUGUCACUUAUAGAUGGAUCCGCGCCGCAUUAGCUAGUUGGUAAGGUAACGGCUUACCAAGGCAACGAUGCGUAGCCGACCUGAGAGGGGGAACGGCCACACUGGAACUGAGACACGGUCCAGACUCCUACGGGAGGCAGCAGUAGGGAAUCUACCGCAAUGGGCGAAAGCCUGACGGAGCAACGCCGCGUGAGUGAUGAAGGUCUUCGGAUCGUAAAACUCUGUUAUUAGGGAAGAACAAAUGUGUAAGUAACUAUGCACGUCUUGACGGUACCUAAUCAGAAAGCCACGGCUAACUACGU
rnacentral:rRNA from 1 species